UUGGGUACAUAUUUUGGUGGUUCAUCAUUCACUCUGUUGAUUGUUAAUACCUAAUAUUUUUUGGCUGUAUUCAUAGUGAUUGCUUUUACUUUCUCGCUUUAAAGUGUUUUUGGGUUUGUUUGUUAGACUUCCCACCUUUCUACUUAGGCAUAAUAAAAUGAUAUGCAAAUAUUCCUUGAUGAUUUUGCUUUGUGAUACUAACUAUUGUAUUGAAUUGCAGACUAAUAUCAAUAUUCCUGGUUUUUUACUGGGUAUACUAAAGGUCAGUUUGAUCGUCAUUCAUGGCCCUUGAUACUAAAACUAAAAGAUUGGCUUUCAUCUACUCUAUUUGAGGAAAAAUUGCCACGUCAUGGAGCUGAGUUUAUCUAUUGCUUGCCAUUCAAGGAAUAUACACACCCACACAUGGGUGUUUUAAACAUUGCUGUCCAUUUGCCCUACAAAUCUCUCAAGACAGAUAUGGGUCCCAAGACUUAUGUUGCAUAUGGAGUUGCUCAGGAGCUUGGCCAUGGAGACUCUGUCUCUAAACUUCAUUGCAACAUGUCUGAUUUGUCAUGCAUAAAGGUUGCACUCAAUUUUGUUUCACCGGAAAAUGUUGGUGUGUGCAUUUGUUUGACGGAGGAAUUACAUACACUUCCCCAGAAUCACAGGGCUAAGGUGGACAAGUUGGAGGGGAAUCCUUGCAGCAAUAGAUGUCUUCUUUGACCAUACCUUGGUUGGGACUCAGCCAUGCAUUUGGAAGAUGUUACGACCAAGGGAGGCAAUUCCAUACUGUACUAGCACCUGGAUUGGUGCAGAAACAGGGCUGAAGCGUACCGCACUAGAUACUGGAGUGUAUUGGGUCUUUUCAAUCAUACCGGGAUAAAUUUAGGAUUUUGGCUGGCAAUGACCACAGUUGCAUUGCUGAACUGAAGGAAGUUUUAGACAAGAAAUUUGGUUUGAAAGAUCUGGAUUCUUUGAGGUACUUUCUAGGCCUUGAGGGGGAGUGUGAAGAUUCAAGAUAACCAAGAGCAAGGGACUGUGUCGUUUAACAAAAGAAAAGUGAAGUCAAAGAUGAAGAAGAACAAUGACAGCGUUUUGUUAAUUGAAAAGAAGAAGAAAUCAAAGGAAACGGUGUCAUUCCAUUUAAAUCAAGAAGAUACAAGACAUGGGUUGGAGAGUUUAAACGAGUCCAAAUCUUCUGUCCCACUUUUCCUACUCCACUCUAUACUCCAUCAAUAAAAACUUGCCUCAUGUUCACCUAAUUAAUUAAAUACUAUUAUUAAUUAAUAAUGGCAGUAUUAAUAAGUCAAUAAUGAUAGUAUUUAAUUAAUUAGGUGAACAUGAGGCAAGUUUUUAUUGGUGGAGUAUAGAGUGGAGUAGGAAAAGUGGGACAAAAGAUUUGAAGUCAGUUUAAACACGCGACUAGUUUGUUAGUCUGUUAUUGCUUGUAUAGAUGUUAGUUGUGUGUUUAGAAAUUAUUUAUUUUGUGUUGGCUCCAACUUAAUGCUCUGGUAAUUGUGU